GACGAACGUUGGCGGCGUGCUUAAUACAUGCAAGUCAACUGAAGCAGUGGUAGCAAUAUCGCUGUGGAGGUGGCGCACGGGUGAGUAACACGUAGGUAAUCUGCCUUCAGGUCUGGCAUAACUCCGGGAAACCGGGGCUAAUAGCAGAUGAUGCAGCGGCUCGACAUCGAGACAGUUGUUAAAGCUAUGGCGCCUGAAGAUGAGCCUGCGUCUGAUUAGCUAGUUGGCGGGGUAACGGCCCACCAAGGCAACGAUCAGUAGCUGGUCUGAGAGGAUGAUCAGCCACACUGGAACUGAGACACGGUCCAGACUCCUACGGGAGGCAGCAGUAAGGAAUAUUGCUCAAUGGGAGAAAUCCUGAAGCAGCAACGCCGCGUGAGGGACGAAGGGCUUUUGCCUGUAAACCUCUGUAGUGAGAGAAAAAAAUCCCAAUCUUUGGGACAUGAUGGUAUCUCAAAAGUAAGCCCCGGCUAACUACGUG
rnacentral:rRNA from 1 species